GGAAUAUAAAAAUCCGAUUUUUAAUUUUUAACUGAAAAUACUAAGAGUCGGCUUUUAAAAUAAGAACCGACUCUUAGCAUUUUCAGUUAAAAAUUAAGAGUCGGGUUCUUAUAUUCC
rfam:Brassica oleracea var. oleracea cultivar TO1000 chromosome C8, whole genome shotgun sequence